UAAAAUAUGUUAUAUAUUUAAUUUUCUCGAACUUAGAAGAGCUAAUUAAAUAUUUAUGUUGUUGUUGAAUAAACAUUUAGAAUAUUUAGUUGGUAAUGAAAUGUUAAUCGUUUCUAAAUAUAUCUAGUUUUUUUAGAAAUAGAUUUAAUCUAGCCAGUAUUUUAAUAUAACUAAAUUUAUAGUUAUAUUUAAUUACUGAGUAAUAUAUUAAGGGAUGAGCUUUAAUAUAAAUUUUUAUAAAGGAAAUUUUUUGGCAAUAUGGGUAGGAUUGGAAGUUUCUUUCUUUAGAAGAAUGUUAUAUUUAAUUUUGCAUUUAUUUUUAUUUUUAUUUUUUUUAAUUUUUUAUAAAAAUUUAUUUUUUAAUUUUAAAAAUUUAGUAAUAAUGAUAGAAUUAGUAUAGUAAGUUGUAUAUUUAAAGAUUUAUUUAUAGGUUAAUAAAAGGAAUUAGGCAAAUAAUUUUUUACCUGUUUAUUAAAAACAUGGCCUUUUGAUUAUAAUAUAAGGUCUAGCCUGCCCAAUGAGGGUUUUAAUGGCCGCGGUACUCU
rnacentral:rRNA from 1 species